AGCCGGCCCGAGGAGGAGGAGGAUCCUAGGACCCAGAGAAAAUCAGUGAAAUUUCCUGGAAUGAAGCUGUGAGGCUCUGGCACCUAGCUCCUUGUUCAAGCCCUUGACUACACUCCUCAAAAGCUGAAGUCACUAAUAUGGAGGUCUGGGCAUUAGACCUGUUCUUAGAGAAGACCUCUGAUGUAAAAGACCACAGCAUGCACUAGCAAUACGGCUGCCCCCACUAACAGAUGAAAGCACUGAGAGCUGUGUUAAGCGGUGGGACCUGAAGAUAUCCGAAUGGAUUGGUCAUCAGGUGGCACAGUGGCCAGCUGAAAGAUACAGCAAGCAAAUGGCAAAGAGGUUGCUGGAGAAGACCAGAGUGGAGCCUUGCAGAGGGACAUGGUGAUUGGCCAGCAGGCUGGCUGGUGGAGAGGAGCAAAAUGGAGUGAAGCCCAGCAAGAGGCAUGGUAAUCAGCCAGAAGGGCAGUUGAUGGAAAGGAACAGUGAGCAAGUGCUUGGACAACCACAUGAGUAAAGUGCCUUCUUACCCCCAAGUCCUCCCCCAUUAUCCAGGGUGGGAGGUGAACUCUACAGCUGCACCUCUGAACUUCUACCUUUGCAUUGACUGAGGACAGCAAUUGUGAGGGGGGUGCAGAAAAGAGAAGAGCAUGUAAAAGGAACUUUUGGUUGCUGGACUUAAGAUCCUGGGGGAAAAGGACACUUCCCAAUUUACUUGGGGGUGCAUCUUUUGCUUAUGGUUUAUAAACAUACGUUUAUAAACAUACGUUUAUAAACCCUGUUUGCAGUGUUUUCCCAAAUUAAUGCCAAAUUUCCUCACCUCUUUCAUUAAAAGUUUCUUUGCUACCCUCAGACUCUGUACUUGUGAGAGGGGCAGUACUGCUUCUUUGAGGCCCGUAGGGCAUGUAUGCAAUUGUUCUAGGUCAAUGGAGGGGGUAGAGCCAGUUCUGUGUAGAAUUGUCAAAAGUGAUCCCUAGAUACUGGACCCGGCUCUUGUUACUGACAAGCAGAAGAGUUACACUUUUUAUUUUUUGUAAUCACUCUGAUUUUUAUGCCUCAUGACUCGUAAUCACUUAAAAUCUAUCAUUUUGUAGUUUAUAAAUUUGUUUUGUUGUU